CUACACGACCGUACCGCAAACCGACACUGGUGCGCGAGAUGAGUAUCCUAAGGCGCUUGAGAGAACUCAGGAGAAGGAACUCGGCAAAUUGACACCGUAACUUCGGAAGAAGGUGUGCCUUUAGUAGGUGAACCAUUUACUUGGGGAGCCCAAUGAGGCUGCAAAAAAUCGGUGGCUGCAACUGUUUAUUAAAAACACAGCACUCUGCUAAGACGAAAGUCGACGUAUAGGGUGUGACGCCUGCCCGGUGCUGGAAGAUUAAAUGAUGGGGUGCAAGCUCUUGAUUGAAGUCCCAGUAAACGGCGGCCGUAACUAUAACGGUCCUAAGGUAGCGAAAUUCCUUGUCGGGUAAGUUCCGACCUGCACGAAUGGCGUAAUGAUGGCCACACUGUCUCCUCCUGAGACUCAGCGAAGUUGAAAUGUUUGUGAUGAUGCAAUCUCCCCGCGGAAAGACGGAAAGACCCCAUGAACCUUUACUGUAGCUUUGUAUUGGACUUUGAACAGAUCUGUGUAGGAUAGGUGGGAGGCUUUGAAGUGUGGUCGCUAGAUCGCAUGGAGCCAACGUUGAAAUACCACCCUGGUGUGUUUGAGGUUCUAACCUAGGUCCAUUAUCUGGAUCGGGGACAGUGCAUGGUAGGCAGUUUGACUGGGGCAGUCUCCUCCCAAAGUGUAACGGAGGAGUUCGAAGGUACGCUAGGUACGGUCGGACAUCGUGCUAAUAGUGCAAUGGCAUAAGCGUGCUUAACUGCGAGACUGACAAGUCGAGCAGAUGCGAAAGCAGGACAUAGUGAUCCGGUGGUUCUGUAUGGAAGGGCCAUCGCUCAACGGAUAAAAGGUACUCUGGGGAUAACAGGCUGAUACCGCCCAAGAGUUCAUAUCGACGGCGGUGUUUGGCACCUCGAUGUCGGCUCAUCUCAUCCUGGGGCUGUAGCCGGUCCCAAGGGUAUGGCUGUUCGCCAUCUAAAGAGGUACGUGAGCUGGGUUUAAAACGUCGUGAGACAGUUUGGUCCCUAUCUUCCGUGGGCGCUGCAGAUUUGAGGAAGCCUGCUCCUAGUACGAGAGGACCGGAGUGGACGAACCUCUGGUGUAUCGGUUGUCACGCCAGUGGCAUUGCCGAGUAGCUAAGUUCGGAAGAGAUAACCGCUGAAAGCAUCUAAGCGGGAAACUCGUUUCAAGAUUAGAUCUGCCGGGGCCUUGAGCCCCCUAAAGAGUCGUUCAAGACCAGGACGUUGAUAGGUCAGGUGUGGAAGCGA
rnacentral:rRNA from 1 species